rfam:Triticum urartu cultivar G1812 contig86287, whole genome shotgun sequence.
AUAUUACUCCCUCCGUCCGGAAAUAUUUGUCAUCAGAAUUGAUAAAAGGGGAUGUAUCUAGAUGUAUUUUAGUUCUAGAUACAUCUCUUUUUAUCAAUUUUGGUGACAAGUAUUUUCGGACGGAGGGAGUAGUUU